GGUUUACCGUCAAAAUGUGGGUUUGGCUCAAAAAGCUCAGGGACAGAGGGUUAAAAAAUAUACGUCUUAAUAUCUCUUCAAAAUAUCCAGGAGACCUACUAAGCCUAUAAAUCAGCAGAGGACAAAAAUCAGCAGUCUCCGGAUCCGGCUAUGCCUCUAAAUAUGCAGAGGACAACAUUCAGCAGUCACAAUUUCCAUAAAAAUACCUGCUAAGCCUCAUAUUAAACAGAGGACAACAAUCGGCAGUCUAAAGGUCUACAUAACUGCACAUACCUGACAAGACAAAACUGAACUCUACCCUCGACAGAACAAUCAACAUCUAUAAGAGGUGGCCAGCACCAUUUUAAAAAAAAGGGGGUAGACACAUCAAACAAUACAAAAUGACAAGACAGACCCUGAGACCUGAAUAUAGCAAUCCUCAGUGUGCUAAAACAAAUACAUAACUAUGUAAUACAUAAUCACAUUUUGCAGGUAU